GCUAGCUGAUACCAGCUGGCUCAGUCUCAUCUCUGACCACAUAGUUGGUCUUCCCUUUCAUCUUCAGCUUGCUGUACUUAUUCAUGCCCUGCCAGCAGGCUACAUCGCUCUGACCGCCCACUGCCUUCUCUUCCUCAAGUGCCCAUCAUUCAUUCCAGAGAGCUUAUUCUAGAUGCCAAAUUAUUGACUCAUUACCACCUGGGGGCAACUGUUGAAACUCCAGACGUCAUUUGUGGGAGAAGUUCUGACAGACUUGAGGCUUGGAAUUGUCACCCUACUGUCCUGACCGUUACAACUACAGCAUACUACUUGAGUUUCAUGAGCAUAUUUCAUUACUUGUUAUGUCACAAUCUGGUUCCAACCACUACACAGAUACGGCACAGAAUGUGAAGCCAUCUCCUGUGGGUUUGGGCCUGGAAGGAAGCCACUUUCCAGUGUGUCAUUAGUUUGCCAUGAACAUGAUUUCCUUUUCUGUGUCCUUCUAUACCAUCCAGCGAGGACGCCCCAAGUUUUAUCUUGAGUGACACCUAGUGGUUCCAUGUUAUAGGAGAAACCUCUGGAAGGUGAUCCCUAAAUUCUUCCAGCCUUUGCGAUUAUAAUGCCGCCAGCCAGCUCCCUUCUCCUUUCAAAAAACUACAAAGGAGUUACAAGGCAACCCUGGGGGUGAAGUGGGAAAACUGUGGGAAGUUCCCUUCUGUGGACCAGAGCAGAAAGACACACUAUGUUUCAGAGGUAGACACCAACACAAUUCACAUUUUUCUCUUUUUUAAUUUAUGGUUACAUUUUUAUAUAUACAAAAAAAAAAGCAGAAUGAAACCCAGAACGUGGCAUUCCAUAUUGCAAAGCCAUUUCAAAACCAUCAUGCAGCAGACCCAACUGUGGUUCAGCAGUUAUGUGCCUCAUUCCUGUCUCUUGUUUUCUUUCCACUCAUGGACCAUUAAAAAAAAAAAAAAAAAAAAAAAAAAAAAUUGGACAGAGUAAAAGGAAUUCCCAGAGAACAGAGGACGCCAAUCCAAUACAACUUUCUUCUUAAAUGUUACAUGCUGAAAAUAAUACAGUAAACAUUCGUCUGUCAAGAUUUUCUAUACUAAAAGAAUGAAAAUAUUGUGGGCAAAGCUGAUGCUGG
ensembl:lncRNA